rnacentral:rRNA from 1 species
AUCAACAGUAUUACUACCUUGUACUGUAGCUUGACCUUGUCGACUUCAGAGGCUAAACAAGGCAGGGCCUGGUCAGUACUGGGCUGAGAGAGCUCCAGGGAAACCAGGUUAUUGUGGUGC